AAAAGAACUCUGAAUAGAGAGUUAAAUAGUACGUGAAACUGCUUAGAGGUUAAACCCGAUGAACCUGAAUAUCCAAUAUAAAGAAUUCAUCAUUAAUAUAUUAAUUAUAAUUAAUAUAAUGGUGUGCAUUUUCUUUAUAUAAUGGACAUUGUAAUCUAUUAAUAUAAAUAUAUUUAUCAUAAGAUCAUAAGCAUAUGUUUAUUUUAAUUAAAUUGUUUCGGCUUUAUAAUAUAAAAUAAUUGCUAAUGAUUUGAUAAAGUGUUGAUAGAUUUAAUCAUAUGUAUAAUGCAUAAAUUCAUUUGAAUUUUAUAAUAUAGCAAUAUAUUAUAAGCAUUUAUACGAUUUACAAUGCGAAAGAUUCAGGAUACCUUCGGGAC
rnacentral:rRNA from 1 species